AGGGCCCUCUGGGUCCAACCUCCCACCCGUGUUUAUUGUACCUUGUUGCUUCGGUGCGCCCGCCUCACGGCCGCCGGGGGGCUUCUGCCCCCGGGUCCGCGCGCACCGGAGACACUAUUGAACUCUGUCUGAAGAUUGCAGUCUGAGCAUAAACUAAAUAAGUUAAAACUUUCAACAACGGAUCUCUUGGUUCCGGCAUCGAUGAAGAACGCAGCGAAAUGCGAUAACUAAUGUGAAUUGCAGAAUUCAGUGAAUCAUCGAGUCUUUGAACGCACAUUGCGCCCCCUGGUAUUCCGGGGGGCAUGCCUGUCCGAGCGUCAUUGCUGCCCUCAAGCACGGCUUGUGUGUUGGGCUCCGUCCCCCCGGGGACGGGUCCGAAAGGCAGCGGCGGCACCGAGUCCGGUCCUCGAGCGUAUGGGGCUUUGUCACCCGCUCUGUAGGCCCGGCCGGCGCCAGCCGACAACCAAUCAUCCUUUUUUCAGGUUGACCUCGGAUCAGGUAGGGAUACCCGCUGAACUUAAGCAUAUCA
rnacentral:rRNA from 1 species